rnacentral:rRNA from 1 species
CGGGUGGUAAUACCGGAUGCUCCGCUCCAUCGCAUGGUGGGGUGGGAAAUGCUUUUGCGGCAUGGGAUGGGGUCGCGUCCUAUCAGCUUGUUGGCGGGGUGAUGGCCCACCAAGGCGUUGACGGGUAGCCGGCCUGAGAGGGUGACCGGCCACAUUGGGACUGAGAUACGGCCCAGACUCCUACGGGAGGCAGCAGUGGGGAAUAUUGCACAAUGGGCGCAAGCCUGAUGCAGCGACGCCGCGUGCGGGAUGGAGGCCUUCGGGUUGUAAACCGCUUUUGUUCAAGGGCAAGGCACGGUUUCGGCCGUGUUGAGUGGAUUGUUCGAAUAAGCACCGGCUAACUACGUGCCAGCAGCCGCGGUAAUACGUAGGGUGCGAGCGUUAUCCGGAUUUAUUGGGCGUAAAGGGCUCGUAGGCGGUUCGUCGCGUCCGGUGUGAAAGUCCAUCGCCUAACGGUGGAUCUGCGCCGGGUACGGGCGGGCUGGAGUGCGGUAGGGGAGACUGGAAUUCCCGGUGUAACGGUGGAAUGUGUAGAUAUCGG